UGUAGAUGCACUAUUUGACUUUGGAAUUUUCAAAAUGGCUGCCGCUCACCUGGCAAUGGGGGGAAGGGUGCCAUCCGUUAUUGCUAGCAAUUACAAAUCUAGUUAUGGCACCCUCAACGGAGUUGGGGUGACAUAUUGUUAUUCUACGUUUCUUUUUUUUCUUAUUAUUAUUAUUAUUUUUUUUCUUGCAACAAAUUUUGUCCAGGUGAUUUCUCGAAAUCCAAUGGACCAAUGUUGAUGGAACUCUACUAUAGUAAGGACCCCCAGUUGCAGAGUUGCAGGAAGCAUGGAAUGGUUCAAGAUGGCUACCGUUUCCAUGGAAACAGAACAAAUGUGAAAAAAUCCAGUUUUUUGUUUUGGUGAACUGUUUGGAUAUGCUUUAUCUCAGAAUCAUUAUAUUUUAAUACAAUGUAGGUGCCCACUAUAUACAGGUGUUGGAUGAUUUUGGUGAUCAUUGGAACUACUAUGUUGCCAUGGAAACUACACCAAAAAUUUCAAAAUUCUCAAAAUGCUCCAAACUUCAGGAAACUUCACAGUAACGAUGAGCAACAUUGGAAGAUGUGGAAUUUGGCGUUGGAAUUUCCAAAAUAUCUGUUGUUACCUUGGAAACAAUGCAAAAAGGUCAAAACUUUGAAUUUUCACAGAACAUUCCAGAACAUCAAUGUUAAAUUUAUUCUAGAGACAUUAAAUGGUAUAUGAUUAUGGAGGGAAAAAAUUGCAGCAGGGGUUUGACUUUGGAAUAUUCAAAAUGGCCGCCGUUACCAUGGAAACAGCAAAAAUAUCCAAAAUUUCAAAAUGCUUCAAACUUAAUGAAACUUUGCAAAAAUGUUACUAGACAUCUGUAGAUGCACUAUUUGACUUUGGAAUUUUCAAAAUGGCUGCCGCUCACCUGGCAAUGGGGGAAGGGUGCCAUCCGUUAUUGCUAGCAAUUACAAAUCUAGUUAUUAUUAUUAUUAUUAUUUUUAUUCUUCCACACUUUUUUGUCCAUUCUAUUUCUCGGAAUUGGCUUGAACAAUAUUGAUGGAACUAUACCAUAAUGUAGACCACCACAUUCUAUAGUGCAGUGGGGUAUGGCACCAUCAAGAUGGCUGCCGUUGCCAUGGAAACGAAACAAAUGUGAAAAAAUCCUGUUUUUUGUUUUGGUGAACUGUUUUGAUAUGCUUAAACUCAGAAACAUUAUAUUUUGAUACAAUGUAGGUGCCGGCCACUAUAUACAGGUGUUGGAUGAUUUUGGCACUCAUUGGAACUACUAUGUUGCCAUGGAAACUACACCAAAAAUUUCAAAAAUAUCAAAAUGCUCCAAACUUCAUGAAACUUCACAGUAACGAUGAGCAACAUUGGAAGAUGUGGAAUUUGGCGUUGGAAUUUCCAAAAUAUCUGUUGUUACCAUGGAAACAAUGCAAAAAGGUCAAAACUUUGAAUUUUCACAGAACAUUCCAGAACAUCAAUGUUAAAUUUAUUCUAGAGACAUUAAAUGGUAUAUGAUUAUGGAGGGCAAAAAAUUGCAGCGGGGGUUUGACUUUGGAAUAUUCAAAAUGGCCGCCGUUACCAUGGAAACAGCAAAAUUAUGAAAAACUUCCAAAAUGCUUUAAAUUUAAUGAAACUUAUAACAAAUGUUGCCUAGCUUAUGUAGACUUAAUUUUUGAGUUUCGAAUUUUCAAAAUGGCCGCC
rnacentral:lncRNA from 1 species